GAACAUAAUUAUGCCGCUGCAAACCUGGGCUGCAAAAAGCGCGGCUCCUGGCCCCACCAACUUCCAUUAACUCCUGAAGCCCCGCGCCGGGGUGUCCGGGUGCGGCAGCCGGCUCCCAGGGGUCAGGGCAGCGCUCCGAACCUCUUCCUCUCCAAUCUGGCCCCAAAAUCGCCACAGGAGGAGGAUAUGAAAAAUUAGGAGAUCUGCUUGACAUCGGGAAAUCCGACACUUGUCUGCUCUAACAUCUCUAAGUACCAAAGCCGUACAGCGUAGUAAGAGGUGGAUUUUUUACGUGUAUAUAUAUAUUUUUUCCCCUAAAAGGUUGUUGCCACUUUUGCUGCUUUUCAUGUCAGAGAAGUCGGGUAACGUGGGGCCCUUUGAAAUAUGUCUCAUCUGAAACAAACUUCUGCCCGCAAACCAUAGAUGCAAGAAAUAUUUAUUAUGGCCGAGCAAGGCUUUCCUUUUCCUUAAUCUGAGGCAAUUAGUACCUGAAUAAACACAGAGCGAGCAAUCCACCUCCUCACUGUGUAAUUGCACUUUAGAGGAGUUCCUCAGCUCUGCCCAAGGAAGCACAGCUCCCACUGAAGUGCUUGGAGCUCACUUUCACCCUGCCUGUAAACCCUCUGACUUUUAAUGGAAAACCCUUUGCGCUCCCCCAACUCUGCACUCCUCAAACCCUGGCCAGGCCCAGUUCUCUCCCCCCGAAAUCUUUCACCCUGCUUCUUAUUUUUCCUGGGCUCUAAUCUAAUCGCUAAUUCCUUCGCUUGGCCAAAUAGUUAAAAAUGUUAAGUGCUGGCAGUUCCUCCUGCCUCCCCCCCGUAUCUGUCUCUGUUUAUGGAACGGGCCCUGGUUUCCUCCUUCUCUUGUUCAGCUGUAGGUCUUCAGGUCGGGAGACUGUAAAUACACACAGCACUGCCCCGACCCAUAAAUCUGAGCAAAGGGCAGCCCUAUAUAUUCAGAUAAGCCACGCAGAGAGGGGGAAAGUUAGGAAAAAAAAAGAGGGGAGAAAUGAGGAAUAAAAGCAAAGUAAGGCAAAGGCACGGUGACACCUCCAUGAACAUGCCAACAGGGCAUGUGGGAUGCCCACCGCUGCCCUCUGUUUGUGCACAAAUCAUCACAAAAUGCAUUGGAUUCUCUUUAGGCAAUGAAAUGAAACCCCAGAUCUCCAUAGCUUUCUGACGUGCCUUUCUCUCCCCCAGCCCUUUGUUGGUCGAUUCCUUCCCCCCCCUCCCAUUUUAUUUCCAGCACCUCUGAAGCUUUCAAGGGAACAGUCCCCCUGUUAUUGCUUCUCAGCUCCAAGGUCUUAGAAUAAAUAACAUUGUUAUUACUCACUUCACCAAUUUCCAAGAAGAAAUAUUGCCGCAGCAAAUGCGAGCAGCACUAAUAUUUGCAAAGUGAUAAAUGGAUUGCUACAUACCUUCCCGUCUGUGUGGCCUCCAGCCAUCCCUAGGCCAGCUCCAUCUCCUUGGGCACCUUUGAACUGAGAGGGCUCCAAGCACGGUGCCUUGCACGGAUCCCCUCCCUCGCCCUCUUAUGGGGAGAGGAGCUCAGACCUGGAGUUGAGUACCGGGGGAGGUGGCUGCCCUGCCUGCACGUACCUGGCAAAUAACAUACAGAUAGUUUAAGCAACGGUUCUAUCUACUUCUCUGAUGUGGUGUGGACUCUUUGAUUGCAUCGAAAACAAAAUCUCCGAAUUCAAUUAUUCCUGGGACAUGAGUCAUGCUGAAAAACACUUUAAAUGUCUGCUAAUUAAAAACAAAGUGCAACUUCUUGCUUCACCCCACAGUGGCUGCUCCAGCAAAGCAAGCCAGACUGCCACCAACAAUGGGCCACUGAAACCCUGCUUUGCUCUGCUCCGAAGAGCCUAUGUUGGCCGCCAAGCCCUUCCUGGCUCCUUCCAUCCUGAUGACAUGUUCUCAGCUGAGACCGUUGCAAUUCCAGGCUAUGCUCCAGUGCCUAUGGUUAUUCUGUUGUUUGGCUACUUGAUUGCUUGGCUUGAGCUCUUUGGCUCGGACAAGUGGCUUCACCUGAGCUCACCCAGAUAUCAGAGAUGGUAUGAAGGUGGAUUUUCUUGUGCAGAGCAAAAUGCAGCUGCUCCGGACCAUCAUCUCAGUGACUUCGUGGUUGUGUCACAUCCUCCGUGCAGCAGGGGCAGCACCAGGAGCUCUCCUUGGCCAUUUCUCCCCACCCCUUUCCUUCUGAAGGGGCUGGCAGGAGCCUUAGGGAACAACCAACAGCAUGAAGAGGUUAUAUGCAGAGGGCAAACAGCAUCCUAUGGCUUCUAGAUGAGUUGAUGGGUACACACAAAAGUUUCUGUGAUGCUGGGUGAAGGUGCGUGCACAGUGUGGCUGUGAUGAUCUGUGGACAACUCUGCACCCAGAGAAGGUGGUAGACUGAAAACCUGGGCUAAAUAUAUCCAUACAUAUAAAUGUAUUCUUUUUUUCCUUUAUUUUCUUUUUUUUUUCCCCCAAGAAGUAACCCUUAGCUGUAACAUGGAGAGUGAGCUUGAGAACUGCUGAAAAAUAAUCACCCAGAAAUUGUGGGCAGAGGCGCAAAAGGGUCGAGCAGGAGACAAUAAAAAUCUGUCUGGCAGUUUUCCUCUUGACCGAGGUUCAGUGGGCAUUUCAUGUGAGGCCAUGUCACUGGGACAAGAGUCAUCCCUGAAAGAGACCCUCUGAAGAGUGAUGUGUCCUGUCUGUCUGCAUCCAUAGGAUGCUGAAAGGACCCCUACAGCCUUCCUUCUAAUAUUUACUCCUAUUUUUUUUCCUUUGUGACCAUGUUCAAGCGUAGUAUUUUUCUUCAGACUUUCACUGACAUUCGUGUUGCUUUAAUAGAUACAUAUAGGAAAACCACUUCUGCAAUCGCAGUAGUUCCUUUGUAGCCAUAAGGCUAAUAACUAACAUCUUUGCCACCAAGAACAGACCAUGGCAUUUACAUGGGAACUACAGCAGACCCACAGAAGGAGCAACCUCAGCUUGCAUCGCAGAGGGCUUGGGACCCUCCAAGUCGGGAUGCAGAUCCCCACCAGGGCUAAUUUGGGGAAGUGAGCCGGAGGUACCCGCAGCAGAUGACACACAGGGCUCAGCUUCUUAUUCAGCUCCAAGUCAGCAGGGGCACCCCCUGACCAUCUGUGGUCUAUAAAUUACAGUAACACCGGCACACACUGCUUGUAAAUCACCAACGAACAGGCUUUACCUUAUGACACACUACAUGAACCCUGUUGGAUAUUCCAAUAAACUCCCAUAAACCAUCUGA